GAUCAGAUGACAAUCCAAUUUGUCAUGAUGUGAUGACAUAGACAUAGGGAAAUAUCAAUGCUAGCAGCUAGUCACUGAUAGGUACAGUAAAUUCCUACACAUCAGAAUGGAAUAAUCUUUGUGCUCAAAUAUGGCAUGCUCUGUCUGAGUACAUUCACAACCUAUAAAAGACAAGAGGAAAUAAAGGGUACACAUUUGCUAAAUAGGAGAGAAAGCUGCAGGAUAUUGAGUUGUUUUUAAAUUUAUUUAUUGUAAUGGGCUAUCAUGUAAUCAAAUAUUUUCUUUUAGAAUUGAACUUGUAAUUGAAAUGAACUAUAUGUCUCCUAUAUAUUGUCCCAUUUAAACAGAUGGUAUGAUAGCUGUGGUCUUGUUUAAUGUCUUAAUUUAUGAAGUUUUAUUCAAUUUACUAUGUAUUGAUCGAAAUUAGUAUGUAUGAACAUUAUUUUUUCUAAUUAAAUUACGUGAAUGACUUUAUA